rnacentral:rRNA from 1 species
GAUGAACGCUGGCGGCGUGCUUAACACAUGCAAGUCGAACGGAAAGGCUCCUGCUUGCAGGGGUACUCGAGUGGCGAACGGGUGAGUAACACGUGGGUGAUCUGCCCUGCACUUCGGGAUAAGCCUGGGAAACUGGGUCUAAUACCGGAUAGGACGAUGGUUUGGAUGCCAUUGUGGAAAGUUUUUCGGUGUGGGAUGAGCUCGCGGCCUAUCAGCUUGUUGGUGGGGUAAUGGCCUACCAAGGCGUCGACGGGUAGCCGGCCUGAGAGGGUGUACGGCCACAUUGGGAAUGAGAUACGGCCCAGACUCCUACGGGAGGCAGCAGUGGGGAAUAUUGCACAAUGGGCGCAAGCCUGAUGCAGCGACGCCGCGUGGGGGAUGACGGCCUUCGGGUUGUAAACUCCUUUCGCUAGGGACGAAGCGCAAGUGACGGUACCUGGAGAAGAAGCACCGGCUAACUACGU